rnacentral:tRNA from 1 species
UCCCUGGUGCUCUAGUGGUCAGGAUUGGGCAUUCUCACUGCCACGGCCUGGGUUUGAUUCCCAGUCAGGCAC